UAUCAAAAUUGAUCCAACUUUGUUUUUUUAUUUGAGCUCUAGUGAAGUUGAUGGGGAUAAAAAAAUAGUGCGGAGAUAGCUAGGAGAUCGUAGCAAUAGCAUGUAUCGGUGAACAAUGCAUUGGAAUCUUAAAAAGACGGUGGAGAAUUAUAGGAUAUGGCAAGAGAGGAAGGUAUCACCCCACAAAAGUGGAAGAUUUGCUAACGAUUGUGAGGCAUUACAUAAAAUCUGCAUAAAAUUUACAGUAAGUUACGACCCUCAAAAUUGCGAUUCUUAUCACACAAGAAAUAGACACCGGGGUAGCGAAUCGCCUCACCACAAUCGACCAAACGAUAAGAGACCAAAUAAUGUAUUCUUUAAUAAAUUUAAUUCAAAAAUGUAUACAUUCUUAAUCUUGUAAAUAAUUUUAUUUUUAAUGUCAACUUAAAUACAAAGAUUUUGUUCAUAUAAAUAAAUUUUUUUAAAAUUUU